UCUCGGCCGCCAAGCGCAACGGCCGCGGGGGUCGGACAGCGCUCCCUUGUCCCCUUGCGCGUUUGCUCCCUUGCUGGGGUGGACCCUUGAACCCCUACCUCUACCCGGUACUGCCGGGUGCGGGGCUGCGGUGACAAGCGAAACAGGCGCUGCCCGCCUUAGUGCCCCUCAGUGUGCCGCAGGCGGGGCGGCGACAAGGACCGUGGCAUCGCGCGCAAGCUCGUCUACCUGUUUUUCUCUUUUAAAUUUAAAAUUUGUAUUUGGCAUCCAUGCUUUUUAUUUACUGUGCACCUUUGUGGCACGCUUUAUCCCCGCAUCUUUCAGAGACGUCCCCAGAAAGCGUCGCCAGCUGUGAUUACACCUAAUGUGAGAGCAUGAACUAAUUUCAGAGGUGCCCAGGUAGCAGGCGUUGGAAUCCCAGGUGCGUUCUUCUCUGCCCUGUGCUUGCUCCGGGACCAUCUCGAAGCCAGCCAGCCGGCGUCUCGCCUGUCUGACCUCACGGCACACUCUUGGGCUCCGAAGUGUAUGACCACGUCCCCUUGGGAGGACCUUCCGUGCCCGCUCCUGCGACAGCAUGAUAUGUAUUACUGCUGGAAGCAGAUUAUUGGCAUUCCUGUUAUGCUUUUCCAUACCUCUUAAUCAUUUCUGCAGCUGUUGACAUGACAACAAUUAUGCUUCCACUUUUAAAAAUUGUUACAAAGAUGCAAAAAGAAAAGAGGAAAGCAAAGGAAUAAACUACAAGCAAUUAUUUAAUCACGGGAAUCCUUUAUGAAGAGAUGGGGUCUUGCCAUGUUGUCCAGGCAGGUCACGAACUCCUAGCCUCAAGCAAUCCUCCCACCUUGGCCUCCCAAAGUGCUGCAGUUACAGCCGUGAACCACCACACCCAGCCGGGAAUGAUCUUAUGAAAAAAAUCUUUCAGGCAGAGAUGCAGACACUGGAGUGGGGAGUUGCUGGAACACACGGAAAGGGGGAGAUCCCGGGGCUGCCCGAGGUGUUUCAGUGGAGGAAGGGCGCAGAGAGCCUUCCCUGCCCGAGACCGUCUUCCGCAGGGCUUCCGUGUCUGGGCAGCGAGGGUUCGGUUACCGCAUCACCACUGAUGGGGCUGCGGGCACGGAGAGCUGACCGGUGAGAAGGGAGAAAAUAGCAAGCAGCUGGUUUGGUGAACUCAGACGGAAAUCACAGCAGACUGGAGCCAGUCUACCAGCUUUGACGCCCAGCCCCACCACCUGCUACCUGGAAACCUUAGGCAAGCCACUUUCAUUCUUUGUUUCUCAGUGUCUUGAUCUGUAAAAUGGGGUGUCUGUAAAAUAAUAGUGCAAGCCUCAUGGGAUUGUUGUGAAGUUCAUAACCUGUCAGAAAACCCUAAAGCAGUGCUUGGCAUGGAGAGAGCACACUACAGAGGCUGCCAGCCAUUGUCCCUCAAAUAUUUUAAAAUUCUUAAAACUGAGGAGAAACACUUGUAGAUGGAGUGUUCUCUGAAAAGUGUGUGCAAGUAGGCUUCUCUAAUUGUCAUUGCAUGUGCCAUUAGUGAUACAGAAAAAUAGGCAAAUGCAAACGCUGCUAAGCACAGCCAGUCAAUACAAAGCUAUCCUUUGUAGAGUCUCCAUUACAUGCUCUUAAACACCGGAGCUUGGUGUGCGCUUACUACAAACACUUAAGAAACGGUGAUUUAAAAGCAAACAAAGAAAUCCCACAAAAGAUAUGCCCUUGAAUGGCGUCUCCGGAAGCCCAGCCUCCACAAGCGCGGUUAUCUGGAUGAGAUGUUUGGCCGCACCUCCCCCACUGCGCCCGUCAGCGCCAGGAAGGCCAGGGCGGCGUGGGUGCAGGUGCAGAUCCGUGGGCUUCACCAUCGCUGUGUGUUUGACAUCAGGUUGAUGCUCCGUUCUUUUUAAAAUAAUUCUAUAUAGGAUAUAUUUAUGGGGCAUGAUGUGAUGUUUCGAUAUAUGUUUCCAUUGUGAAAUGAUUAAAUCAUGCUAGUUAAUAAACCCAUCACCUCCCAUACUUACCAUUUUUUGUGUGUGGUGAAAACAUUUAAAAUCUCCUCUUUUCGCAGUUUUGAAAUACAUAUUGUAUUGUGUAUGAUAGUCACCAUUCUAUGCCCUAGAUCACUAAAUCUUAUUCCACCUGUCUAAUUGAAAUUUCAUACCCUUUGAUCAAUAUCUGCCCCUUUUCCCUCGGCCACAAUUGCCAGCCCCUGGCAACCACCAUUCUACUCUGCUUCUUUGAGCUUCCUGUUUCAGACUCCACCUGUAAGGAGACCAUGCAGUAUUUGUCCUGUGCCUGGCUUAUUUCACUCGGUGUGAUGUCCCCCGAGUUCAUUCAUGUUGUGGCAGAUGACAGAAUUUCCAUCUUUUUGGAGGAUGAACAGUAUUCCAUUGUGCAUGCGUACCACAUUUUCUUUACUCCUUCAUCUAAGGGUGGACGCCUAGGUUGCCCCGUAUGUGAGCUGUCGCGAGCACGGCUGCCGGGAGCGUGAGCGUGAGCCUCUCUUGCCACACUGAUUGCGAUUCCUUUGGGUCUGUAUCCGGACGUGGGAUUGCUGGGUCAUAUGGUGGCUCUAUUUUUAGGUUUCUGAGGAACCUCCAUACUGUUUUCCAUAAUGGCUGUAUUAAUUUAUACUUCCACCAACAGUGCACUAGGGUUCCCUUUUCUCCACACCCUCACCGACAUUCACCUUUCGUCUGUUUGAUAAUAGGUAUUUCAACGUUUUGUCAUUUGUUCUGCCCACAGCCCUUGGCUGGCUGGGUGGCUCGACUGGAUGGCAUGUGGAUGUCCUUCCGCCCGCUCCCCAGGAGCACUGGGCUCAGAGUGAGAAGAGCUGAGUUUGAGCCGUAUAAAAAUGCAGGGCUUUUAAACAAUGAAAGUAGAAUUUCACCAGAAACUAUUUCGAUGGCCACAACUGGGUAGUAAAAUGAAGACUGAUGCAUAUGUGACAAGACAUGAGCCACGUUAUUUUAUUUCUGCAAUUCUACACUCUCUCCUUACCUUGGUAAAUCAUUUUGAAACAAGCACGCUGCCCCCACCUGCAGCUCUUCCAUUCAAGCAUGAUGCAACACCGAGCUGUGGUAUUUUCAGAAGUGUCUGCUGAGCAUUGCAGCUUAGCUAAAAGCAUCCUCUCCAUUUUGCUCUUGCUGUUGCAUGUGGGAUCACUGCUCUUACCUGUUAACCCCAGCAGAAAAUCUGCCUGCAAACAACAGCUUGCAACACAGCGUGGCGCUCGGUGCCGGCAUAAAGGAGUCAGUGAGCAGGGCGUGGGGGCAGCCUGCGUUGGGGGCAGGCUGCUUUUGUUGGCACUUCCCUUUUGUGAAGGAUGUGGUCCCUGUUCUGCCACCUGCAGCAGGCUGCACACCAUCUACUUGCUAUCCUUGAACUACGGGGGUGUUUUCCCCCAGCCGUAAACGGGCUGGUGUGAGAGGGGCUUCUCCUGCUGCGGCCUCGCUUCCGCGCGGCCUCCUGUUACCCUGCAAGAUGAGGCAGUUUCCGUUGAAGAGAAAGCAGUCAUUAAUUUUUCAUAAGAGCAGCAAAGUUGUGAAUAGCAGAGGACCUCCUGAAUAAAGAGCUUAGAGGUUCCAAAGAGAGAAGAAUAACAAAGCCCGGGGAAAGCGUAUUCUUUCUUACAGUGUGUGUCACCCCAGCCCCCCGCCAUCCCCGGUAGGGAGGAGGAAGCCAUUCUGCCAGCUAACAGCUCCUCAAAUCUCGUGAACCUUAAUUUUAAUCCUUAUCGGUGGUUUUUUCAAUGAAUAAUACGGUGACCUUCAGCUUUGUCCUGUAUUAUGUGAGAUUGAUUCGUAAAGACUGCUUUAGUUUUUUAAGUUAAGGCAGAAGCUGUAUGUAUGCUACUCAAUUCUAGCAUUAGUGUUGUCCCAAGUGUGGCAUUUAUGCUCUUUCGCUUCUUUGGUAUAAAUAAAUAUCACAGUAGACGACCAGUGUGAACUCUACGAGGAAUAAUAAACUAAAAUAAUAUGGCAUUGAUUUUGUUCAAGAUGUCUAAGUGUGUUUUUAUGAUUGUGUAUGUUUAUAGCUUUUUCACACAAGUGACAUGAAUUCUGGGCAAUUAAAAGGGACAUGAAUUUCAAGGCAUUUAGGAAGAGAAUCUGUUUUCUAAUAGCUGUGCAUUUUACCAAGCUGUGGUUUUUGAAAAAAAAAAAAAAGCACUGUAGAUUUCAGACUUCCGCCUUAAGAAACUGGGGAGUUAUUGCCCUUUUGUAUUGUUUUACAGUGUUAUUACCAUGAGACCAUAGUAGGGGACUUAAUUUUGGCUGCUAAAGUACAAUAUGUGGAUAUAGCAAUUUAAUAAAGAAGCAGAGAAAGA